rnacentral:lncRNA from 1 species
GCAGAGAACACAAGGGGGGCAGGUGUUGGAAUGGAGAAGGUGCAGUGGGUGUGGGACAGGCUCUGGGUGGGUCACCCCGCUAAGCCCACCAGGAAGGUGAGCUCGGGCCAGGCAGCUAGCUGGUCCUAGGCCCUAAAGGACAGAAAGAUCAUUGGUCAUCGUGGUGGCCUAGGAGGAUGCAAGGGCUCCUUUCUGAAUCUCUGCUCAGGAUUCUAGGGAUUUCUGAGAAACCACUUUGGGGAUCUUCUUUUUCUGACAGGGCGACCAGUUCAACCAAUGUGAUAUUUGUCGAAUGAUAAUGACUUGGCUGAGGACUUGCGUGGGACCGUCCCAGAUUCAGGAAGCCAUUCAGAAGGCUACAACAGCGGUGUGCUCAAAGAUUCCAGCGGUGGAAAAAAGUCUGCAAAGAUAUCCUCACCAGAUUUUUGUGUAGUGUUGCCCAGUUUUUCCUGAAUAGUGAUCCCUCCAGGGAUAUCUGUGUGACCUUCAGGUUGUGCAGACAUCAAGUAGGUGAGUACAGAGGUAACAGCAGGAACCCCUUCCUGGAGGGUCCAGAUCUCAUCCCCAAUUAUAUGCAACAUGGUGUAAAAACAUGGAAAUACAUCUGUCAUAGACAAGUUCAUAAGCUACUCCUACAUGUCCCUCCUAGCGCCCUUGUUUGACACAUUCCUCCCCCUACUGUGUGGCAGU